rnacentral:rRNA from 1 species
CGCCUGUUUAUCAAAAACAUGGCUCUCUGUUAAAUUAAGUGUAUAGGGAGUCGGACCUGCCCGGUGACAUAAAUGUUAAACGGCCGCGGUACCCUAACCGUGCUAAGGUAGCAUAAUCAUUUGCCUUUUAAUUGGAGGCUAGUAUGAAUGGUUUGACGAGAACUAAGCUGUCUCUUUUGGAAUAUUUAGAAUUUAAUCUUUAGGUGAAGAAGCCUAGAUUUGGUUGAGGGACAAGAAGACCCUGUUGAGCUUUAGUGAAAUAACAUAUGGUCUAGUUGAAUGUCUAAGUGUUAUAUUUUUAUAAAUUAAUUAUGUUAGUAAUCUUUAGUUGGGGCGACUGAGGAACAUAAGAAGCUUCCUUUAUGUUAAGAUAAUGUGUGUUGGCAGAUUGUUAUAGAUCCAGUAUGUUGUACUGAUCAAAGGAAAAAGUUACCACAGGGAUAACAGCGUAAUCUUUCUGGAGAGAUCUUAUCGAAAGGAGGGUUUGCGACCUCGAUGUUGGACUAAGAUAUCCUAAGGGUGUAGAAGCUCUUGAUGGUUGGUCUGUUCGACCAUUAAAAUCUUACGUGAUCUGAGUUCAGACCGGUCUU